AAUGGUCAAAGGCCAACAACAUGGGGUUCAUACACACACACACACACACACACUCAGGAGAAAAAGAAGCUCAAAUAGCCAACAAAUACAUUACUCCUUCCUUAUCUGUGGUUUGGCUUUCCGAGGUUUCAGUUACCUGCGGUCCACCGCAGUAGUAAAUGGAAAAUUCCAGAAGUAAGCAAUAUCUAAGUUGAAAAUUGUAUGCUGUUCUGAGUAGUGUGAUGAAAUCUUACACCACCCAACUAUCCUGCCUGGGAUAUGAAUCAUCCGUUUGUCCAGAGUAUCCAUGCUUUAUAUCCUAUCUGCCCACUAGUUACUUAGCACCCAUCUCGGUCAUCAGAUCAAUUGUUGUGAUACCACAGAGCUUGUGUUGAAGUGACCUUUACUUUGCAUAAUAAUGGCCCCAAAAUACAAGGGUGGCAAUGAUGCAAUUUGGGUAUGCCAAAGAGUAGUUUCCUUCAAGUGAAAAGGUAAAAAUUCUCAAUAAGGAAAGAAAAAAAAAAUCAUAUGCUAAGGUUGCUAAAUCAAUGGCAAGAACAAAUCUGUCUGUGAAAUUGUGAUCAAGGAAAAGUAAUUCAUGUUAGUUUUGCUGUCACACCUCAAAUUGCAAAAGUUGCAUCCACAGUGCAAUGUAAGUUAUGGUGGAAAAGGCAUUAAAUUUGUGUGUGUGUGUGUGUGUACAUAGAAGUCUGGGGCUCAACAAUGGGAGCUACAGCCUUAAAUUUCAUCUAUCUAUCUAUCUAUCUAUCUAUAUACAUACAUACAGACAGACAGACAGACAUAUUGGGUUCAAUAUAACCCUCAGUUUCAGGCAUCCACUGAAGGUCUUUGAAAGUAUCUCUUAAGGAUAAGGAGACAAAUAUGCUCAGCCUCA
rnacentral:lncRNA from 1 species